AAACAGCAGAAAUCUUGAAGUUUUUGUAGUUUGUGUCAUGAAAAUUGUCACCUAGAACAAAAGUGAGAUGUUUUUACCCUCUCAGACUGGCGGGGUUCAAUGAAGAUCUCCUGAAGCAGUCACCCAGGACUGCAUGCAGCGCAGUGCAAGAUACAGAUUUCCCCAUCUCUACAAGGCCUUUUUAUUUGGUCUAGAUACACAUCUUCAAUCCUUGUUUUGAGGAUCAAAUCUGUAUUUCCUGCGUGCUUGAGGAAAGUCUGUCAGCGUGAUGAGGCAUCAGCAUCACUCAGCAGGACCUGUUGAGGAGCCAGUGAUGGCUUGGCCCAUCACAGCACUGAUUUAUCCUUUUUUGAUCUAAUCCUGUGAGUAUGAGCUCAGGAGCUGUGCCAAAACUUUGUGGAGACUCUGUUGUGUGCAUACACCUUAGGUUAGGGCACUGUUAGGGUAAUGGUUGGACUUGAUGAGCUCAGAUGUUGCUUCUAACUUUAAUGAUUUUGUGAUUGCAGAGCUCCAAUUCUUAAAGAAAAUGAGCUCUCAGCUUUAAGG
rnacentral:lncRNA from 1 species